UGCCUAUUUACAUGGCGUCUGUCUUUAGGGAUCGGUUGCGCUGCGAAGCGGUCGUUACAGCUUUUUAUUUUCACAGACUGAACAUCCAAUGUCUUGGUUCUACUUCCUGGUACAGGAUACUUGCACUUAGCAUGGAGUAAUGAAGCAGAGCAGUGUACUUUUAUUAAAUGCGUAGAUUUUAGCAGUGUAACAGCAGUUCAUCAAAAAAAAUGUGUGCUGGAAAUAAAGUGUUCCUACCCACA